rnacentral:snoRNA from 1 species
GCCGAGGAUGAGCGGUUGGCCCGGCACCGAGGGGUGAGGAGGGCCACCACUCCUGAGG